GGCAGAGUCUGUGCCUGGUGACU
rnacentral:piRNA from 1 species